GACGUAGGGCGCGAGCGUUGUCCGGAUUUAUUGGGCGUAAAGAGCUCGUAGGCGGCUUGUUGCGUCGACCGUGAAAACCCGGGGCUCAACUUCGGGCUUGCGGUCGGUACGGGCGGGCUAGAGUUCGGUAGGGGAGACUGGAAUUCCUGAUGUAGCGGUGAAAUGCGCAGAUAUCAGGAGGAACACCGGUGGCGAAGGCGGGUCUCUGGGCCGAUACUGACGCUGAGGAGCGAAAGCGUGGGGAGCGAACAGG
rnacentral:rRNA from 1 species